CUGGGUGCCUCCCAGCUGCGGAUGUCCCGCGAGAACUCUGCGUCCUCCCCGAGACCCUGUUAAAAAGCCCCGCGCACAGCCUGUCGGGAGAGCGUGCUCUGCAGCACAAGCUCCUGUUAUCUCUUCGUUCUUUCCUUCGGGGGUGACGCUUUCUUUUGCGAACCUAUCUUGUUUAAUUGGCUCCAAGGACGCCAGGCGGAAGGACACUUGGAUAGGUUCGGCUCUAAGGAUGCCAUGGGCAUGGAUGCUAACAGAUAAGGAAAUAUUCAGCUGCAGUCAUUUUGCAAAAGGACCCACCGGUGAGGAAGCUGCUGAGGUUAGAACUGCUCAGGGCCCCACUGCGCACUGAAGUGACCUCUCUGAGCCGCAUCUAUGAUCUGGGACUAGCCAUGUGAGAGGCUGAAUGAAGUACUUGAGAACAGCAGAUGUUUGGGUGGGCAGGACUGUGAGCUCUGAAACCAGACAGUUUAGAUGUGAACCCCACUUACUUGGUUUCUCAAGGCUGAGGGUCUCAUCUCGUGGCACUGCUGACAUUGGGAUUGUUGUGCCUUGUGGGGUGUUUAUCAGCUUCCCUGGCC